rnacentral:rRNA from 1 species
CGACCCUCGAGGUGGCGUAGCUAACGCGUUAAAUGAACCGCCUGGGAGGUACGGCCGCAAGGCUAAAACUCAAAGGAAUAGACGGGGACUCGCACAAGCGGUGGAGCAUGAGGUUUAAUUCGACAAUAAACGAAGAACCUUACCAGGGCUUGAAAUCCUAUCGAAGACUUUCCGAAAGGAUUGUCGUCUCUCAAGGACGAUAGGACAGGUGCUGCAUGGUUGUCGUCAGCUCGUGUUUUGAAAUGUUCCCUUAAGUGGGGUAACGAGCGCAACCCCCAUCUGAUGUUACUUUUUCAUCAGAGACCGCCCCCGCUUUUGCUCGUCAGAGCAAAAGCGGAAACUCUAAACUCCAAAUUCUAAAUUCCAAACAAACCCCAAAUUUAAAAUUCAAAUGUUCAAAACGUUUUGAGUUUUUGAUUUUAGUUAUUUGAUAUUGUUUAGUAUUUGGGAUUUAUGAUUUUCCGCUUUUGAGCUGGUGCUCAAAAGCGGGGGAGGAAGGCGGGGAUGACGUCAAAUCCGCAUGGCCCUUUGAUGCCCUGGGCUACACUCGUGCUACAAUGGUUGGUACAAUGGGUUUGCCAAGUCGUAAGGCGGAGCUAAUCCCAUCAAAACUAACCUCAGUUCAGAUUGAGGGCUGCAACUCGCCCUCAUGAAGUUGGAAUCGCUAGUAAUCGCGGGUCAGCUAUACCGCGGUGAAUACGUUCUCGAGUCCUGUACUCACAAAUAAAUGCGCCUGGCAGCGCAGUAAUCUACAUGGUUUAAAUCCAUG